rnacentral:lncRNA from 1 species
GUUCGGCUCCAUAGCACCGACGGUCUCACUAUUCACAACUGCCUGUUACUCAGGUUCUAAGAAAUCAGGUGACUUCAAGCCUCUAUGUAGGUGGAGCACAUAAACACACACAGCUACAUAUGGGACAUAUAAAUCCUUUUUUAAAAAAAAACAAACAAAAGUGGAACAUGUAAUGAACAAAGUGCAAAUAUUUCAAAAACAAAACAAAACCAACCUGCAUUUUUUGAGUUGUUAUCAAUUAACUUUUUAAAAGACCUCAACAUUAAUUUUACCAGUUCUAAUAAAAAAAAAAAGGCCUCUGACGCAACGAAGAAGGCAUUAUAUGCUGAAAAUGAGAAUAUCUUUUUAAUCUUGUUUCCCCCUGCCUUCUACAAGCAUGGCAUACACAAAAGCCGGAGAAAAUUCAGCUGUGGCGCCAUCUGCUGGACACUCUGACUUGCUGCAAGAACUUGCAGGUCGAAUCAGUAAGGUGUCGCGGUUGGUCGCGAAAACCUCGCUUUUUGCCCAGGAAAUAGCGCCAAGGCAGUAUUACAUGCUCAUACAAAACCAAAUACAUACAUACAUACAUACAUACAUACAUACAUACAUACAUACAUACAUACAUACAUACAUACAUACCACUAACACUAAAUAAUAAUAACUUAGCCGGGAAGGUGUGGCACAUACCUUUAUUUCUAGUACUCUGGAGUCAGUGGCAGGCGAUCUGUGUGUUCGAGGCCAGCCUGGUCUACAAAGUGAGUUCUAGCAUAGCUAAGGUUACACAGAGAAACCCUGUCUUGAAAAAACCAAAACCAAAACAAACCCCUAUGAAACUGGCCCUUUGAUAGAAAAAAUGCUUUGGGAAUGAUGGUCACAGGUAAGCCCAGGGUCACAUACUCUAUGGCACGAGGCAGAAUUCACUUAAUUAUAUGCCUCCAUGUUGAGCAUUAGCUGAAAACUAAAAGCUUGUUUUUCAGCACUGCACACAACUGAGUAUCCGGGACAGACGAAGUCACCGUUCCCUUGUUCUCUUGAACGGACUGAUUUUGCUGAAGGAAAGAAGUGUAAAAGUGUGGCAAAUUGAGCUGGGAGCUUGAAGGUGGUCUGCGGUAGCCUGGGUGGGGUUUGGAACUCUUUUUUUCUCUCUCUCUCUUUUUUAUUAGGUAUUUUCCUCAUUUACAUUUCCAAUGCUAUCCCAAAAGUCCCCCAUACCAACCCCCCCAAUCCCCCACCCACCCACUCCCCCUUUUUGGCCCUGGUGUUCCCCUGUACUGGGGCAUAUACAGUUUGCAUGUCCAAUGGGCCUCUCUUUCCAGUGAUGGCUGACUAGGCCAUCUUUUGAUACAUAUGCAGCUAGAGUCAAGAGCUCCGGGGUACUGGUUAGGAACUCUUCAUUAAGCCCUGCCUCCAGUUUUUCAAACUCUUGGGUAAGAUCUGAUUUACUUGAAGAUUUUUCUAUUUAGGAGAGGCAGGCCCUUUCCACACAAGGGUCUAAGCCCAUUUGCAAACACAUUUAUUCAGAGGCUUUCGCGUAAACAUUGCUUAGUUGAAAUACUUCACUCAGCAUCCUUGCAAUUUUGUUGCAACACAUUCAGAAGCCACUUGGGGAAACCCGGGGAAAGCAGAAAUGUAGAUCAGAUUAAAACUGGCCCACCCACCUGGGAAAUCGGGGUUCCGCUGCAGAAGCCUUGGUAAUGGAAACAUAUUAACAACACAGAGCUCUGACCACCGGCGCUUCAGGGUCACCUUGAACAAGACUAAGUUUUUAUAUUCUGGGAUGAGCUUUUAAUGGUUUUCCUGAGAUGAAAUAACUUCAACCUUGUGGCCUGCAGGAGCCCAGCUGAUUACAAAAUCCCGGGUUCCUGUCAGGUAACGUCCAUAUUCAGUCAGUGUGUUCUAAGAGCUUCCUCUGCUUCUUCAAUAACUAGGCCCUGCAGGGUGAGACUGUCGGAUCCACUGCUAGCAGCAUUAGCCCUCUCAAGGGACACGUGGAGAAGAUUCAGCAGCCACCAAGAACACAGAGUGGGAAAUAAAUGUCCCCUCUAGCAAGGGCUGAAUGGCUUGUCAGCAGAUGAGAGAGGGGUUUUGUCAGUUUGCUUGGCUUUUAAAACAAUCUUUCUGUGUAGCUCAGGCUAGCCCCAAACUUGGGGUAACAUUGCUUCAUUUUCCUUAGCACUAGGGUAACAUCUAACCAUAAAUUAUGCACCGAUGCUCUUCUUUUUUUUUUCUUUUAGAUUUACUUAUUAUUAUAUGUAAGUACAUUGUAGCUGUCUUCAGACACCCCAGAAGAGGGCAUCAGAUCUCAUUAUGGGGGAUUGUGAGCCACCAUGUGGUUGCUGGGAUUUGAACUCAGGACCUUUGGAAGAGCAGUCAGUGCUUUUAACCGCUGAGUCAUCUCUCCAGCCCAUGGAUGCUCUUCUAUAUCGAGUUUCCACUCUGCUUAUCAUAUAGGGAACAAUAAAUGCAUAGCAGCCAUGAAAAUGACUGGUUUUGUGUCCUUGGAGGAAAAGGAGGGAGCAGGUAGAGAGGCAGCUAGGAAAACUGCAAGGGGAAAAGGUUAUCCUGAGAGUCAGCGACCCUCAGAAAACAGGCGCCGUCUCAGCUGAUAGCAAGAAGCUAUAAAAGGAACAGGAACCCUUAGGGGCAUUCCACUGCAGGCUGCCUGAGUGCUUUCUACAUAUGGGAAUAGAUACAAUUAUUAAAUAUUGCUAUAGUGUUCCCAACUCAAGGGCAUGGUACACUUUCUGGAAUAAUAAUGUAAAUAAAAAAUAAUAAAAAUAAUUUU